rnacentral:rRNA from 1 species
GACGAACGCUGGCGGCGUGCUUAACACAUGCAAGUCGAGCGGUAAGGCCCUUUCGGGGGUACACGAGCGGCGAACGGGUGAGUAACACGUGGGUGACCUGCCCUCAGCUCUGGGAUAAGCCUGGGAAACUGGGUCGUAAUACCGGAUAUGACUCCAUGACGCAUGUUGUGGGGUGGAAAGCCUUGUGCGGCUGAGGAUGGGCCCGCGGCCUAUCAGCUUGUUGGUGGGGUGAGGCCUACCAAGGCGACGACGGGUAGCCGGCCUGAGGAGGGCGACCGGCCACACUGGGACUGAGACACGGCCCAGACUCCUACGGGAGGCAGCAGUGGGGAAUCUUGCGCAAUGGGCGAAAGCCUGACGCAGCGACGCCGCGUGAGGGAUGACGGCC